UUCCGCGAAUUAUUUGGACUUACUUUAGAUUAUUCUGAAAAGCACUACAUUGAACCUGCUUAUCACGAGGAAUACUUCCCACAGCGAUAGCUGAAGUAAGGGUAUUCCUUAUUUAAAUGACGACCACGCGACACAUAAAUAUGAUACAUGUGUAUGUUUACCGUUAACAUGUGUCGGGAAGUACUCGAGAGACGGCUCUGGAUGUUAAAACUUGGCUGUCAGAGUGUGCGUUCUCAGAGUUCCCUCUGCCGUUGCUCCCUCCUGUUUAUUAUACAUACACUACACAUAUAAUAUUCAUAUACAUGCAUAUGUCAAAAGCUUUGAUCGGCUCAAGUUGACGCGUAGAAAAUCUUAUGGCAACAAACAAGGAGAAAUAUUAGUUGAUAGUUGACAAUAACACCCAACCGCAGCGGAGCCAAGGUUCCCAAUUAUAAGAAACCAAUUAGGCUGGCCGCAUUAUGUACACACAUAUGCACAGAUGUACAUACAUAUGUAUGUAGAAUGUAUAUUUAGCUCUUGUAUUCCGCUUGAUAAAAAUGAUCUUGCAUAAGAGCUCUGGCUCGAUUGGCGUUCUAUUGAAUUCUGUUAGCUGCAGUUAUUACAGUUUACAGUGAAUGUAAGCUGAUAGGGAACAGAAUAUGUAGGUAGUUGUUGAACAAUUUGGUGAUUAUUUUAGAGGUUGCAGGAGCUCCGUUCUGUCGAGCGCACCAAGCAGCAGGCAGCAGGCUGCGGAAUCAGAAACGCACUGGCAUACACAUACGCACCCACACAGCCAAGUAAACAAACUAAUCGAUAAACAGCCGUACUAGUACAUCCCCUCUCUUCCACAAGCUCCACCCACACAAUCCACAAUGGACAUACAUAAGUACAUAUGUAUGCACACAUCUACACCCCGAAGGCAACGACCAAACCCAUUUUCAGGGCCGGGUUUUUUGUGCAUUUUGCGGAAACUGCACUUCUUACCUGUCAGAUAGAAAUUGUUAAACUUUUGCGCCAGGAUCAGCAGACGAGACAGCUUUACUUCGGUUGAAGACAUUUGUUGUGAGUUCAA